GGCAGGUAAGCGCGGGAACUACCUCAGGUCGCCGAAAGGCGGCAGCCGGCUAACCCCCGGUGGGAUCCUGAGGCCCGGGACCUGCUUUUUA
rnacentral:ncRNA from 1 species